rnacentral:rRNA from 1 species
GACGAACGCUGUCGGCGUGCCUAAUACAUGCAAGUAGACCGCAGUUGCGAACGGGUGAGUAACGCGGCGGUAACUGCCUGGUAGCGGGGGGUAACUAUUGGAAACGAUAGCUAAUACCGCAUACUACCAGAUUGACCUGCGUUGUAUUAGCUAGUUGGUGAGGUAACGGCUCACCAGGGCAACGAUACAUAGCCGACCUGAGAGGGUGAUCGGCCACACUUGGACUGAGACACGGCCCAGACUCCUACGGGUGGCAGCAGUAGGGAAUCUGCGGCAAUGGGGGGAACCCUGACCGAGCAACGCCGCGUGAGUGAAGAAGGUUUUCGGAUCGUAAAGCUCUGUUUUUAAGGAAGCGGUACUUAACCAGAAAGGGACGGCUAACUACGUGCCAGCAGCCGCGGUAAUUC